rnacentral:lncRNA from 1 species
AGAGAAUGGCGCUUCUUUAAUACAAGCAGUUCAGGAGGGAAGUGUUUCCAUGAACACUAUUUUCUUACAGGCUUAUCACAUAGGUGGAUCCAUUUGAACUGUAUCCUAGUAUGUACCAAAAGUUAGAGGCCCUCAUGGAUCUGGGAAAGUCUUAAGAGAUCCAGUGCCCUAGCAUCUGCCUCAAGAAGAUGAGCUCAAGGACCCACAAACCAGCACAGUUAACAAGAAGAUAGAAGACCCCUGAUUUGUAGAGCCACCAAGAGCCAUGGAGAGCCACCAGCUUGACCAUCAACUAGAUCUGAGCAGCUCUGCUCUCGGGUUUAAAUCCAGCAAGAGAGAGGUGAUCAGCCUGGAUCAACCCAGCAGGAGCUGCGUGUCCUGAAGUCGUUCUCCUGACAAAGUGAUCCCACACCUCCUUUUAUCUUCUAUUAGCCAGAAAACUAAGUUAAUUAGAAUCUGCCGUUUUCUGAAAACUUGGGUUAAUCAAAGUUUAUACGUAGUAGUUUUCCCCCCAGAACAGUAAAGCGAAGUGAUGUUUCCACGAAGAACUCAGUACUUAGUGAAGCUGCUGGGGUGGGAGGGGAUCCUCACUGAACCGGAACAUCAAUCCGUGCUCUGAAACAAACCUGAUGUUUCACUCUGUUUGGGCCGCAGUAAGAAACAAGCAUUCUGUAGGUGCUGCAGGAGAGAAUGCUUUGGAAUUUUCAGACUCCCACUGGGGAGCGAGGUAAGAUGGCUUGCUCUCUCUAAUUUCCAAGCAGCUGUCUUAGUACAUUUCCCUAUAUCUUCCUUUUCACAUGGACACCUCCUCCACGUGCCUUGGUCCUGGGACUUUGAUGGCUUUUCUGUGAGAUUUUCACAUUUUCACAUCUUUGCAUCUUCAUAGACUGAGCUAUACAAUGAUGACCUUCAUUUCAGACUGUUCUGAGGUGCUCCUUAAAAUCUCUAGGUAUGCCCCCCCCCCGAUACCAAUUCCCUCAGGAUGGGGAAAUUUAUGGAUCCUAGCCCACUCUCAAUAGACAUCAGAAAAUGGCUAGAUUAACUCAAAGUAACAGACCAUGGAACUAAAAAGGACUCAUAAAUUAACCAGCCCAACUCUCAGUUUGCAGGAUCAGCAAGCAAGUCAAGCCCGUGGCUUGGGUGAGAAGGAACCCAAGUCUUAGGUAAUAGAAUAUUCUGUGAUCAUGUUCAAGAUUUUUCAGGAUUCUGGAAGAGUAAGAAUUAAAUAAAGGGGACCUAAUGGUAGCUUAAGUUGGUAGAAUGUUUGGGGUGGGGGUGUAAAUGUCAUGCAGAAUUCAUAUAGCUUAAAUCUAUUGGAAUAAAUUCACUCUUAAGAAAUGAUUCU